rnacentral:rRNA from 1 species
UACGUAGGGGGCUAGCGUUGUCCGGAAUCAUUGGGCGUAAAGCGCGCGUAGGCGGCCCGGUAAGUCCGCUGUAAAAGUCAAAGGCUUAACCUUUGAAUGCCAGUGGAAACUGUCGGGCUAGAGUCCGGAAGAGGCGAGUGGAAUUCCUGGUGUAGCGGUGGAAUGCGCAGAUAUCAGGAGGAACACCAACGGCGAAGGCAGCUCGCUGGGACGGUACUGACGCUGAGGCGCGAAAGCGUGGGGAGCGAACAGG